rnacentral:rRNA from 1 species
UACGUAGGGGGCAAGCGUUGUCCGGAUUUAUUGGGCGUAAAGAGCGUGUAGGCGGCUUGGCAAGUUCGCUGUGAAAACUCGAGGCUCAACCUCGAGACGUCGGUGGAAACUGCCUCGCUAGAGUCCGGAAGAGGAGAGUGGAAUUCCUGGUGUAGCGGUGAAAUGCGCAGAUAUCAGGAGGAACACCAAUAGCGAAGGCAGCUCGCUGGGACGUUACUGACACUGAGGCGCGAAAGCGUGGGGAGCGAACAGG